GAAUUGCGAUAAGUAAUGUGAAUUGCAGAAUUCGUGAGUCAUCAAAUCCUUGAACGCACAUGACGCUUGGGUUUAAAAUCCCAAGCACACCUGUUUCAGUGUCGUUUUUACCUCUCUCAUUUUUUUCUCUCUUGAGAAAGAUUUGAGGAUGAUGAGAGUUGGCUUUCUAUGGUUAAAGGUCAUCUCUUGAAAUGCAAAAGGAAAGAAGUGACUAUUUUUUGUAUGCCUAUAUCGAUUUUGGGGUUGCUUCUAUGCACCGCCACAAACAGAUAAGGCUUUACAAUAAGUAGUGCUUUUUUAAAGUAAAACAGGAACAGCAGAUGAUUUCAAAAGCGACCUGAAAUCAGGUGAGACUACCCGCUGAACUUAA
rnacentral:misc_RNA from 1 species